GUCAGGAUGGCCGAGUGGUCUAAGGCGCCAGACUCAAGGCUUUGCUUUCCCUGCCUCGGGGAUUUCUGGUCUCCGAAUGGAGGCGUGGGUUCAAAUCCCACUUCUGACA
rnacentral:tRNA from 1 species